rnacentral:lncRNA from 10 species
CCGGAAGACACCUACCCUGGCCGGAAGACACGUACCCCCGAAGAUCGAGAAAGAGGCUGUCCGGGUAGUAUGUAGCAGUCACGUCAGACUGAGACACUUCUUGUUUACAGGAGACCAUAAAACCCCUGCCCCAUCCUCAUUUGGUGCUGAGGCCGUUUUAGGCCUCAGCCCGCCUGUACCCAGGCACUCAUUAAAACAGCGUGUUGCUCCACAGGGCCUCGUGUUGUCUGUUGGCACGCUCUUGGGCUUGGAACCGAUACAAGAACCUUACAAUGAGGUGGAAGAGAGAAGCACGGCAGGAUUGUGCACAAAGUCUUGUCUGUUGUGGAAUGGAGUUUGGACCUUUCCCACCACUUUCAAGGAAGGGAAUGAAUUGACCUGGUUCACUUCCUAAGAAGGCUACUGUCUGUGUGGUGCUCCUAGAGGCAUGGGAGAGGAGUGAAGACAGAGAUGACCAAAGAAACACUUGGGGAAAGAAUGGAAGCGGCAUGUGUUAGCUUGGGAAAGGGAAACAUACCAGCAUCCGAGAUCUGGCCAUCAGGGAGAAUAACAAACACUGACGGUGGCAAGAUAAAGAGAAGAUUCGAAGAUGGCUCCAGGUCUCCAGCCAGGAAGAUGCUGAUGACAGCAGUGCCAGGAGUUGGAACAGGAAAUGGAAGCAGAUGCCUAAUGACUGCUUAGAGAAGGAAAGAAGGAAAACCCAAUGAAUCUAAAGAAUCGAGAUAGACUGAGUUCCCUACACCAAAUGGCUCACGUACGAAAGGAACCAUUGUCUUCUAAAAACUGACCCUUGCCUGAGCUUCUGUUGAUGUCAUCCCUGUCGGACCCUGGAUGAGAAAGAAAACGGGAACAACACGAGGAAGACGAGACAUCUUCCCCAGUGAGAAAUCUGCAAGUGUGCCAUUUUAGAGUUCGUGGUAACAUCUUUUCUUUGUUCUUUUUUUUAAUUUAAUUUAAUUAAUUUUUUUUUUUUUUUUGAGACGGAGUCUCACUCUUGUUGCCCAGACUGGAGUGCAAUACCAUAAUCUCGGCUCACUGCAACCUCCGCCUCCUGGAUUAAAGCAAUUCUCCUGUCUCAGCCUCCUGAGUAGCUGGGAUUACAGGCACCCACCACCACGCCUGGCUAAUUUUUGUAUUUUUAGUAGAGACGGGGUUUCACCAUAUGGGCCAGGCUGGUCUUGAACUCCUGACCUCAGAUGAUCCGCCCACCUCAGACUCCCAAAGUGCUGGGAUUGCAGGCAUGAGCCACCGCACCCAGUCAUCUUUUCUUUGUUCUAACAGUUCUAGCAAAGCACUGUUCCUCUCUGCAAGCAGGGAAACUCCUAGAGUACUAGGCUAUGUUUGGGAGGCCAAGGUGGGAGGAUCAAUCUGGGUCAGGAGUUUGAGACCAGUCUGAGCAACAGAGAGAGAUCCUCCCCAUCUCUUCAAAAAAUACAAAAUUAUCUGGGCAUGGUGUUGCACACCUGUAGUGCCAGCUGAAGGAGGGACUAAGGCAGGAGGCAGGAGGAUCACCUGAGCCCAGGAGCUCAAGACUGCAGUGAGCCACGAUUGCACCACACUCCAGCCUGGGCAACAGAGCAAGACCCUGUCGAGAAGGAAAGGAGAGGAGAGGAGAGGAGAAGAUUUAAUGUAGGGUCGAAUGAUUUAUUAUCAUUUAAUUUUUAAAAAGACAAAGGUUAAAAGAGAUUCUAUUGUUCAGUAUGAUUCACUUGCUAAGUGUUGUGAAGGGCCUGUAAUUCAGGUCCCUAAUGACCCAUGAAACCAAAUGCCCUGGUGAGUCAACCUCAAAAAUUACCUAGUCAUCUGAUAAGUAUUAAGCACAAACAAAAAACACUUGUUAAAAGCUGCAGACAGUAUCAAUGUGUAUUAUUAGCCAGUUAUAACUCAAGCCUUUAAAACCAGGCAAGUCACAAUAGGCUCUUCAAACACCUUUCUGACAUAACUAAGGCAAUCAGCCCAUUGCGCCAUAACCAGAAGACAAUAUCUAAUGGCAAUUGCCAUGUAUAGUGUGAAGGCCUUUCCUUGUGGAUUCAGAAUGGAGCAUGGACCACAAUUCUCAGAAGCGACUUCUAGAGAGAUGUUGGGUGUAAUGCCAGCCAUUGUUACAAUAGGACAUUGCAUUUUAUACCUGAGAUCACUGACUGGUUGUCAUCAGAUAGAAUCAUGUAGUCCCCUGUUGUACAAACAGAACAUUCUGAUGACUAUUCAUUAAGUGAAAUAUAAUGGAACACUUAAAGUGACCCCAAGAUUAAACCCUUAUUUGGGGUUUGUCUAAUGACUAAUGGUCACUACCACCAGUUUGGAGACAUUACAACAAAACUCUGCUGCUGACAAAAAUAUUAACCAUAAAUGAUGAGAAAUUUUCAGUUGGGACCAAAAGAACAUCUGGAGGCCAUUAAAGCAGGAGAAUUUUCCCUCUAUGUCCUGAUUGCCAAACUUAGAACCAACCACCCAGAAACUGUGGCCCUCAUGCUAACUCAAUGUUUAUAUUUCAUUAAAAACGAUUUCAAGGGUUUGCGUCUUGCACUUCAUGGCCCAACUCCCAUGCAUACAGCUUUUCAUCUCACUGAGCAUGUCCUGGAGCAGACGAGCAUUCCUCACCUCUUGGUUUCAGAAGAAGGAGCUUCUUGGGGAAUAAUUCCAGGUUCUUUUUUUGCAUCUAUAAUCUAAUCAAGAAUCUGUAGGUCCUACCAUCCUAGGAUAAAUGAGGAGAAGAAAACAAGGAUGCAAGACCCAACAAUAAAAAUAUUAGAAUUUUAAAAAUACUAUACUAGAGUUUGCUUUUAAAUACCUAGUAAAGCUACAAUAAGUCAUGAAAUUGAUGAAUGGAAAGUUAUAUAAUUUCAGCUGUAUAUUAGUUGCUUUUUGCUGCUAUAACAAAUCACCACAAACUUUGUGACUUAAGACAGAUGUAGCCAGGCACGGUGGCUCAUGCCUGUAAUCCCAGCACUUUAGAAGGCUGAGGCAGGCGGAUCACCUGAGGUCAGGCAUUCAAGACCAGCCUGGCCAAGAUGAUGAAACCUCAUCUCUACUAUAAAUACAAAAAUUAGCUGGGCAUGGUGGCACCUAUAAUUCCAGCUACUCGGGCGGCUAAGGCAGGAGAAUCAGUGAGUCGAGAUCACACCACUGCACUCCAGCCUGGGCAACAGAGCAAGACUCCAUCUCAAAAAAGGAAAAAACAAAACAAGACGGAUAUAUUACCUUACAGUUCUUGAAGUUAGAAGUCCAACACAGGUUGCACUGGACUAAAAUCAGGGCAUCAGCUGGGCUGCAUUCCUUUCUGGAGGUUCUAGGGGGAAAUCUAUUUCUUUGUCUUUUAGCUCCUUGCAGCUGCUCCAUUCCUUUGUUUAUGGCCUAUUCUCCAUUUUCAAAGCCAGCAAAGUUGCAUCUUUUUAACUUUUCUUCUGCAGGAAUAUCGCCUUCCAACUAUGGCAAGAAAAGGUUGUCUGAUUUUGAAGAUUUGUGUGAUUCAUUUAGGCCCACUAAAAUAAUCCAAGAUAAUCUUCCCAUCUCAAGAUUCUUAAUUUAAUCACAUCUGCAAAGUUCCUUACAAAAGCAACAUAUUCACAAAUUGCAGGGAUUAGGACGUGGACAUCUUUGGGGGAUCCAUAUUCUGCCUAUCACAAGCUAUUUCCAGACUCCAAGUAGUAAAGAGAGUUGAAAUUCAAAAGCUCAUCAGUCACCUUUUUUCACUGUCAUUCCUUUUAGCAUUGAGUUUUACCUUAGGAAAUAGGACAGAUGUUUUCAAUACCUAAAACCUUAAACAUAGAACAAUUUUACAAAUGUCAUGAAACCAGAAUGAAUCUCUUGGCUGAAAGUUUUUCAAUUUUCAAAGAACUAAUUUUAAUUUUACUAGUAAAUUUGAAAUGGAUCCAGCUUGCCUGCUGUACUUUUAUAUGAGACACUAAAUCACGGUUCUUUGGAAACGGCAACAUUGAAAGCAUAAACUGUCAUUUUCCCAGAAUGUGUGGAAGGGCGGAUGUGGUUGAUAUAAUGUGUUUCUUAACACAUCUUUUCACCCUGAGCUCACUCCCACCAUGUGUUUAUAUGCACUGCAGGGCAUACAGCAGCCUUGGUCGGUGCACGUGUUCGCAAGUAGUUUCGCCUAUUUCUCAAGCAUAUAUUCCUACGGGUGCCUAGCAAAUGCCUUAGCUGAGGACAAGGUGUCCAAGGAAUAAGUACUUGCUGCUGUUUUCCAACACACACCACAAUUUCGGCUGAUUCUCAGCAAAGGGCAUUUCUUCUACUCUGGGAUCUGUGAAUUUGCUCAUGGUUUUUAACAACCUGCAGCCCGGCUCAAGUCAUAGUCUGGAUCCCAAUUUGAAAUUAGCUACAUUUUAUUAGUAAGUGUCCAGAAAUGGCUUGGCGGGUCAUUUUCUGUCUUGUAAAAUGUGGUUCUUAUUGGCAGUAACAUGCUUUUUGGGCACUGACUCAUGUUCUCUCUUCAAGCAAAUGAUUCCUUCAGGAGGCACACGCUAUAUCUAGGUUUGCUGUGUGCAACACAUCAGAUCCUGGCCAUAGGGUGACUUAGCAAAGGUACAGGCAGUUUAUUGCACACCUAUGUACACUUCAGGUCCCGUGCUAAGAGUUUUAAGGGCAUUAUCUCAUUUAACUUUACAAAACCCUGUAAGAUAGAAUCUGUUAAUCAUCCCAUUUUCAGACGAUGAAAGCAAGAUUUAAAAUGACUUGCACAACCUCAUGAAACCGACAUGCUUGGGCUGGACUAUAUUGAGACUAGGUGAGGUGAGUGAGCACUCAGUUUGGUGCAAAAUGUAAAGGAAAGCCAAAAGGCUCAGUAAGCAAGGUAAAGGAUAUUUCAGUGCAAUUUUUUAAAAAUGCAAAAUUAGUGAAAACAUUCCAUAGUAAAAUAUUAAAAUGUGAAAAAAAGACAGACUCUGACCUUAUACUGGGACUCAGCCUUAAUCACCUGACUCUAAUCCUGGCCCUGCUGAAUCCUGUCCCUUCCCUGGCUGGAAUUUGAACCCAAGGCUGGCUGAGGCUGAAGCCCAUGUUUGUACCCACUACUCUAUAGGAUGCAUCUGCCUCCUCUGCCAGCAGGGCAGCUGGGAGGUACUUAAAAUGCUUUUCAACAAUGAUGACAG